GAUGCCAGGGGAAUCCACCGUCUGCCACCGCGAGCGUGAGAAGCCAAUCACCUAUCACUGAUUACGAUGAGGACCUGGUGCAGGAAGCUUCAUCUGAAGAUGUCCUGGGCGUUCAUAUGGUGGACAAAGACACAGAGAGAGACAUUGAGAUGAAACGGCAACUACGGCGACUACGGGAGCUCCACCUAUACAGCACAUGGAAGAAGUACCAAGAGGCGAUGAAGACAUCCUUGGGAGUUCCACAAUGUGAGCGUGACGAAGGCUCCUUGGGCAAGCCAUUGUGUCCACCCGAGAUACUCUCGGAGACGUUGCCAGGCUCUGUGAAGAAAAGGGUAUGCUUUCCAUCAGAAGAUCAUCUAGAGGAGUUUAUAGCAGAACAUCUCCCUGAAGCAUCCAAUCAGAGUCUCCUCACUGUUGCCCAUGCAGACACAGGCAUCCAAACCAACGGUGACCUGGAAGACCUGGAGGAGCAUGGGCCAGGGCAGACAGUCUCUGAGGAAGCCACAGAAGUUCACAUGAUGGAGGGGGACCCAGACACACUGGCCGAACUUCUGAUCAGGGAUGUACUUCAGGAGCUGUCCAGUUACAACGGCGAGGAGGAGGACCCAGAGGAGGUGAAGACAUCCUUGGGAGUUCCACAACGUGGUGACCUGGAAGACCUGGAGGAGCAUGUGCCAGGGCAGACAGUCUCUGAGGAAGCCACAGGGGUUCACAUGAUGCAGGUGGACCCAGCCACGCCGGCAAAGAGUGACCUGGAAGACCUGGAGGAGCAUGUGCCAGGGCAGACAGUCUCUGAGGAAGCCACAGGGGUUCACAUGGUGGACCCAGCCACACUGGCAAAGCAAUUGGAAGACUCCACCAUUACAGGCAGCCACCAGCAGAUGUCAGCAAGUCCUUCCUCUGCACCUGCAGAAGAAGCAACAGAAAAGACCAAAGUGGAAGAGGAAGUGAAAACCAGAAAGCCCAAGAAGAAAACCAGGAAGCCCAGCAAGAAAAGCCGGUGGAAUGUCCUGAAAUGUUGGGACAUUUUUAAUAUAUUUUAGAGACCUCUGAAGAUUCCUCGACCACCAGGAAGGGCCCCGACGUGGGGAUGUCAACAUGGCUCAGACUUGAUGUGGAUCGUGAUCAUUUCGGGAAAUGUGUUACUCCAAAAACUUUUAUAAUCUUUGCUUAAUUUGUUUUUAAAUACUUUCCUGGCUGGGCGUGGUGGCUUAUGCCUGUAAUCCCAGCACUUUGGGAGGCCGAGGCGGGUGGAUCACCUGAGGUCAGGAGUUAAAGACCAGCCUGGCCAACAAGGUGAAACCCCGUCUCUACUAAAAAUACAAAAAUUAGCUAGGCGUGGUGGCGCACUCUUGUAGUCCCAGCUAUUUGGGAGGCUGAGGCAGGAGAAUCACUUGACCUCAGGAGGCGGAGGUUGCAGUGAGCCGAGAUCAUGCCACUGCACCCCAGCACCUGGCUACAGAGUGAGACUUUGUCUCAAAAAAAAAAAAAAAAGAACAAAAAAAUUCUGACUUUAACCUCUGUUUUUCAGAGGGCACAAAUUGUUCUUGUAUUGUUUCCAUUUUACAUUUUUUUCUUGAAGUUAUUUUCCAAUUGUUUUCAUUCUUUCUGAAGUUUUGUUUACUCGGUUUUAAGUUUUUGUAAUUUUGAUAGACUUUUGUGCUUUCAUUUUCUUAAUGACUUUUACCUCAUUUUUAAAACAAAUCCAUAGUAUGGAUGAUAUUGAUGAUGAAAUGUCUUACGAUGAUCAUUUAGAGGUUUAUUUUGAACAACUGGCAAUUCCAGGAAUGAUGGAAUAAAGCAUACGAAGUAGAAGGACUGGAACCUCCAGAAAAAGUACUUUAAGUUACCUACAGGUGAUCCUAGUCAGGCAAAUGAAAACAGUAGCCUAAAGUGUCAGUUUCAACCAGAAAAUAACAGCUCUGAUUUCUCAUGGCUCAUACUCGUCUGAAACGACUCAGGUAGAGGCUGAGGAAGGCCGUGUUGUUUGUCUACCUGGGACUACACCUACUGAAAGAAGUUCUCAAGUUCUGAUUGAGUUCUAAAAUUUUUUGAAGAUUGGAAUUCUUCAUAUGUAAAAAGAGAAGAGAAAGACAUUCUUGAUUUUGGUGACUAGAGUUGUAGAUGCUGGAAGCUUUGCCACUAACAUUGAUGAACCAGAUGCAUGUCACCAGCCCAUCACGGUGAUUCUUAAUGCCGGCACCAUGGGCCCGGCACUGCCACGUUUUCCAAGGAACCUGCCGGAGCUCCUGCGGAAGCUGCUCCUCAGGCGAUGGAGUCCCUUCGCUGGUAGGCCCUUCUUCAGUCACCACAGGAUGCCUGCCAUUCAUGAACAAGAAGGAGAGGACGGGCUUUGAAUAAAAAACAGGAUCCAGGAAAUAUUUGUGAGGCCAUUUGGACUUCAGUGUGAAAUGGUGUUAAAAGAUGAAGUCAUUUAUUCAAGAAGUAAACCUCUGCCACCUGGACUGUGCGCAGACAUUUCAUUGAUUUUGUUUAAUAAACAUUUUCUGGCUUUGGGAGGUGUCUCUCUUGGUAGAACACAGUGUCAAAGAUGGACAAGAUGGACACAUAGUCCAUUAUUUGGUAUUGUUUGUGUAUGGGAGCAGACCACAAAUUAAUGUUUGGAGAACAAUUUUGUCAUAACACACUGUUGAGGCUCAGUUGUACAGAACUGGAAAAGUCUUCAGCUUGGCACAUGUCCUGAUUCAGCCUUUGUUUAACAUAUAUUCCAAUCCGGAUUCUAUCUUCACUGGCUACAAAGACCACCUGAUACGUGCACCACGACACAGGAGCUGCUGGAGAGGGGGUAGUGUUAUCACCUCAAACCCACAGCCAUAUUUUUCAAAAGCCAGCUUAGAGAGAGGUGUACUGAUAGCUGCAUAGAGAACAUGCAGUCCAUCCAUUCUUCCCAGUGAUGUACAUUUCUCAAUCAGUAACCACGUGGUAUACCAGCCUUGAGUGUCACAUCUCCCAACCAUACCAAAUGGAUCACCUAACUGGAGGUGGGGGGGGCCCUCAGAAAUGAGAUUUCGUAUUUACUGUAAAAUUGCCUUAUUUUUUCUUUUGAGGUGGAGUCUCACUCUGUUGCCUGGGCUGGAGUGCAAUGGUGUGAUCACUGCUCACUGCAACCUCCGCCUCCUGGGUUCAAGCAGUUCUCCUGCCUCAGCCUCCCAAGUAGCUGCAAUUACAGGUGCAUGCCACCACUCCCAGCAAAUUUUUAUAUUUUUAGUGGAGACAGGGUUUCACCAUGUUGACCAGGCUGGUCUCAAACUCCUGACCUCAGGUGAUCUGCCCACCUUGGCCUCCCAAAGUUCUGGGAUUAAAGGUACGAGCCACCGCAACUGGCUGAGAAUCUUUUUAUUUGCUGAUUUGUCUCUUGUGUAUUUUCUUUGUUCAGAUGUCUCUUCAGAUCUUUUUCUCACUUUUAAAUUGUUUUUUAAUUGUUAAGAAUUUUCUGUCUAGUUUAGAUAUAAGCCCUUUAUCAGACAUGUGUUUUGCAAAUAUUUUCUCCUAGUCUGUGGCUUGUAUUCUGUCUCUUAACACUCAUUUUAUUUUUACUUUUGGAACUAAAGAAGAAGAAUGGUCAGCUUUCCAUUAUUCUUGUAACAGUAAUGGCAGAACCAAGUCUGCUAAUGCUACACUGAGCAAAGAAAGUCACCUGGUGAAGUCCAACAUUAAUGAAAUGGGGUAGUACAUGCAGGCAGCGUUGGGGGUGGGGAGGGAACAAAUGCUUCUUGAGAGUAAUAUAAUCUGCCAUACCAUCCAGGAACCUACAAUGGCUAUCUAUUACCUUAUUCUCUGGUUUGUUUAAUGUUCGAAUCUUUCCGAAAGAUCCUUCAACCUUUCUGGAAGAAUCUAAUCUGAUAACACCAUCAAAAACACAUUACUUCUUUUGGCAUAAUUUAAAUUGUAAGACAUCAUUCACAUUUAUCAAUGUUACAUAUAUAAGAACUCACCCACCAUAUUCUUCCUUGAGGAAUUACAGCAUGUAAUUCUAUAAUCAUUUUUAUAAUCGUCUAACAAUUUUAUAAUGGAUUGGUUGCUUACUAUCAAUUUUUUAAAAGUCAUGGCUUCUCCAGUCAUUUCUUGCUUAUCGAAAUUAUUUCAUGAGAUGGGUCUCUCCUUGUAUAUUUGAAAAUGAGGUUUGCUUCCUUCUACUUAAAAAACAACUUGAACAUACCUGUUUGGAUCACAUGGUCUUGUCCUGAUAACUUGGAAGAGGUUGCUUCAGCAUUGUUCUUAUUGUUGUGGUGGUUAUUAUUAAUAUUGUUUCAUAUUCUGUUUAAAAAAUUAAAAUUUUACACAAGACCAAUGUCUUCUUUUCAAUUCCAGUACAUUUUUCAGAAGUAACUAAUGCUAUUGGCUUUGUGCAUUGUAAUUUCAGACCAUUUUAUAUGUCUUUAGUUAUAUGUACAGUAUACACACAUAUGUGUCAUAUUAUUCCAUUUUUUCUAGCAUUAAACAUUGCUAUGGAAAACUCUCGGAAAAAUAUUUAUUUGAACAGAACUUUUUCUUUUCUCAGAUGUACCCUCCUUAGGAAUCUUUCUUUGAUCCUUGAAGUUUGGUAACAACUUUAAAUAUGUGUAUCCCAGCUGGGAGCAGCGGCUCACACCUGUAAUUUCAGCACUUUGGGAGGCCGAGGAGGGUGGAUCACCUGAGGUCAGGAGUUUGCCUGGCCAACAUGGUGAAACCCCGUCUUUACUGAAAAUACAAAAAGUUAGCCAGGUGUGGUGGCUGGCACCUGUAAUCCCAGCUACAUGGGAGGCUGAGGCAGGAGAAUCGCUUGAACCUAUAGAGACAAGGUUUCACCAUGUUGACCAGGCUGGUCUCGAACUCCUGACCUCAGGUGAUCCACCCACCUCAGCCUCCCAAAAUGCUGGGAUUACAGGCAUGAGCCAUUGCACCCAGCCAUACAGGAGCAAGUUUAAAAAUUAAAUAUUUAUUUGAAUAACAAGCUUACAUUGGAGCUGCAAUGUUGGCAAUCCAGAUUUUGAACACGGAUCACAAAAAGCAUGCAUAAAAUCCUACUGGCCCAGAGAACAAAACACUGCUCAGAAUUAAGCGAAAUAGCUGCUACUGUUAAGAAAACAGGCCUGAAAUCAAUAUACAAGAUUUUAAAAAAUGUAUUGGCCGGAUGCAGUGGCUCAUUCCUGUAAUUCCAGAACUUUGGGAGGCCAAGACAGGAGAAUCACCUGAGGUCAGGAGUUCAAGACCAGCCUGGCCAACAUGGUGAAACUCCAUCUCUACUAAAAAUAAAAAAUUAGCUGGGUGUGGUGACACAUGCCUGUAGUCCCAGCUACCUGGGAGGCUGAGGCAGAAUAAUUUCUCGAACCCAGGAGGAGGAGGUUUGCAAUGGCAUGAUCUCUGCUCACCGCAACCUCCGCCUCCCGGGUUCAAGCAAUUCUCCUACUUCAGCCUCCCGAGUAGCUGGGAUUACAGGCAUGUGCCACCAUGCCUGGCUACUUUUCUGUAUUUUUAGUAGAGACAGAGUUUCUCCAUGUUGGUCAGGCUGGUCUUGAACUCACAACCUCCGGUGAUCUGCCUGCCUCGGCCUCCCAUAGUGCUGGGAUUACAGGCAUGAGCCACCAUGCCUGCCCAUGAAAGCACUUUUAAAAAGAGAGCACCUCUGCUGCCUGGUCAUAUUCUGUACCUGUUCCCAAACCCUGAAACCAGUGAUGUCAAUGGCUGCGUGGGCAUUGAACGUGUACAUGAUUCCUGCAGCUUUCCUGUUGACCUGGACCAUGUUCAUCAAUGCUUUUUGGUACAUUAAUUCUACAUCUUCUUCGGUGACCACAGUUUAUGUUUAUUUCAUUUUUCAGGAAUAUCCAGCCACUGGUGCACAGCCAUUGCCACUUGUGCCCCCAGGGGAUCUUGUCAACUCCAGUAUGUCCCCCCAGCACUGUGUUAUCUGGCAUAAUAAAUGUAGUUGGGCUGUAGUUGUAGUGACUCCUCCCAAAACAACCCAGGAGUUUAAUACUGUUUGGCCACCGGUUACAGACAUUGCUGCCCCUUCCGCUGCGGCUUUAAAAGCCUAUCUAAUCGGCUGGGUGUGAUGGUGGCUCAGACCUAUAAUCCCAGCACUUUGGGAGUCCAAGGUGGGUGGAUCACCUGAGGUCAGGAGUUUGAGACCGGCCUGGCCAACAUGGUGAAACCCCAUCUCUACUAAAAAUACAGCAAAUUAGCUGGGCGUGGUGGCGCAUGACUGUAAUCCCAGCUACUCGGGAGGCUGAGGUAGGAGAAUUGCUUGGGUGGCAGAGUAAGACUCCGUCCCAAAAAAAAAAGUUAUCUAAUCAGGGACGUCACCUUUCCCUGCCAGUCAUUUUGUUACCAAUGAAAGAAAACAUAUUCAAAUCAAUUUUUAGUUCAGAAAAUGUUUCUUUCAUUGUAUCUUUGAAUUUUAUUGUUCUGCAUUUUUUACUUCAAAAACACCUACUAUAUGCAUUUUUUCUCUCGUUUCCUUUUUUUUCCAAGAAAUGUUUUUGUCCUUUUGAUUUUUUCACUGACCAUUACCAUUAUUUAUAUACCAUGUACCUGGAGAGUUUCCAAUGUUUCUCUUUGGUCUGAGAUACUUGCUAUGAUUUUCACUUUUUAAAUGCUCUUUUGAGAUUUGUUUUGUGGCCUAAAAUGUGGUCUAUCCUGGAGAAUGUUCUGUGAGCUGAUGAGAAGAAUGCACGUUCUGCAGUUGGUGGGUGAAAUGUUCUGUAAUUACCUGUGAGGUCCCUUUGACUUCUCUUGGAGUCAGUCUGGUCUGUUACUUUUCUGCCUAGAGGGUGUGUCUGUUGCUGAAAGUGGGUGUUGGAGUCCCCAGCUAUUAUUGUCUGUCUCUGUCUGUUGCUCGAAUAACUCUUACUUUAAUAACUGGGGCUCCUGUGUCAGGUGUGUUUACAUUGACAACUGUCCUACCUUCUUGCUGAAUUGAUCUCUUUAUCGUUUUAUAAUGACCUUUAUUUUCUAUUUUUGUGCUUUUUUGACUUAAAGCCUACUUUGUGUGACAAGCAUAGCUAUACAUACUCACUUUUGGUAACACUUUUCAUUUCUUAUCAUCUUCAUUGAAUCUCACUUCUUCACAUUUACCAAAAUGUCUACUUUUGAGCUGUGGCACCUCUUUGAAUCUUCAGAUCCACCACAUGCUGAUCAAGCCUUCCUUUUUGUCUGUACUCUGAGGAAUCCCAAACAGGCAUUUUUGCAAGAAAGUCUAGGAGGGAAACAUAAAUCUAUGUGUCAAAAAAAUGAACAUAGAAAAUAAUGUGUCCUGGUUAACAAAAGUUCUCAUUGUAAAGUGUUAGGCACAAGACUAUGGAAUUUCAUGUGCCAUAAAUAAAAUUGUCUUGAUUUGUCUAAAACUACAUUUUGUCUAAAACUACUUUUAAAAAUUACAUGUUACUCUAAUA
rnacentral:lncRNA from 1 species